UGUACUUUGCUUAACGACAGACUCAUUGGCUGAACAGUGUGCCUGUUACCUUGUUAACCAGGUCAGGUUGUCGAUGCACGGGAGUGGGCUGGGGAGAGCCAGUGCAAGUGAACUCAACUUCGGCUGUGUAGGUUGACUAUAAUCUUUAAAUGCUCCUAAGUUUUUGCAAACGCUGUGAUUUUAGUAAAGUAACAUAAAUAACUAGUGUGUCUAGAAAUAGGUGAAAUAUGCUUGGAUCACAACAUGCCACUUUUUUAAAAAUGUAGUAAUAUGACAAGAUAAACUUGGGACCGGUAAGUAGAGCCUUAUUUAUACACUUCUGUUAAACGAUAUUGGAAAUGGAUGGAAGGAUGGACGUUCUUUAUUCGUCUGAAAUUAAUGAAAUAGACUACAUCUCGCCUGUCUUUGGACUACCUACAGUUCUUAUAAUGUAAUUAUUGCAUAUUUGGAUCAUUUAUUUAGGAAUAAACCUCCAAUCACAGUGUACAGUACACUGCUUGCAUCGGGUCCGUGGAACUAUUUUAUACUUCUUUUUAUGACAUUUACACCAGAUGUCACGCAAUAAACGCCCCCGGUUCUUAAUGUUAUGUUUUGACGGUACAAUGAGUGUUUUUCAUAAUAUCGUUUGUGUUUUGCUGCCAGUGCAAUGAUUGAAAAGCUCUAAAAGCAGGUAAGCCACUGACUAACGCACAUUGCGCCCAAUGCCAGUUCCACUGUGCGUGUGACAGCGGCUAACCUGGUUUUGGGAAUGCCUCUCAUGGAGCAGACAAGACAUCAUUCAGCAAGCACGCCUUCACCAUGUCCCAGUACUAUUCUAUAUUACCGAUCGGGCAAGCCUGCGUUGGGGGAUCCAACAACCCCGCCCUUUGUGCACCUACUGUACUUUAUGGUACCACACGGCGGUUGCACGUAUUCUUGUAGGUCCGAACUCUGUGACCUACACUCUCAAAUACUUUUGUUCCUUCAUAUUGAAUAUCCAUGAUAUGACUGCAACACUUUGCCUGCAAACGAUACCAGUUCAUCUCAUUACUUAAUGCUCUUUGUGUGAUUUGUAAAGUGACAUAAGCGAGCGUGAUAUAUCCCCCCCUCCCUUCUUUUUUUGUGCAAGUGGUCUCAUUGAAACGAAAGCGAUCAUUUUAAUGGGAAGUCCGCAUGCUCCUGGAAAGGGAUCAUCCGGCAAACAACUCCAUCGCUUUUCUAUGUGACUGAAGCAGCUGGUUGGACAUUUGAUUGGAAACGUCUGGACGGCAUUGUAGGACUCUUUGUGUCCACAAGUAGGCGUCAGCGGUGCACAUUGUCUGUCCAGACAGUGGCGCCAACACAUGGUUAGAGAGAUUAUAUAACCCGUACCAGACAGCUCUAAAUCUUCUCACGAUAAUCCACUUCUAGAUUAUAUCUAACCUGGUCAUCUUGUGAAGUUUAAGUUCACAAUUUACACAAUGCAUGAAGUUUUAAAACACUCUGAAAGUAAAAAGUUGAAACUGUUGACAUCAAAUGAGUGACAGAAAUCCAGAGAUGGGCCUGAGACUAAAAUUGACAUCACACGACUCAGGCCAUUUAUACACCAACGGUAAAUCUGGGAGUCGAGUUUUGCAUUGAUCACCCUGGCAUGUUGUUCAGCAUACCUGUGCAAAUGGAAGCCAAUUAAUUUCCAUUUUAAGACAAAAGGAAUGUCUGUGCAAUUAAAAAAAUGUGUUUGAGUGAAUAUGACUGCACAGUAUGGACUGACUGAUAUUUUAUGUUUUAAAAACUCUUGAUCAUGCUUGGGUAUUUCUCGAGACCUUUUGUCUGAGGUCAGCGGGCCGUCAGAUCUACAGAUCAGACGCUAAAGAUCCAUUCGCACCAAAUCCAGUAGACACUUAAACAGCUUCUUCCCUCUAGCCAUUAAAUCCUUAAACAGUCACUGACAGUCACUCUUCUUGCACCACAAAAUGGUACUUCAAAACUAGUGGUUACUCUAAAAUGGUUCAAUGAUUUUGUUGUUUACGAUGAUACUAGUGCAGCGUGUUAUACCGGAGACAAAUUCCUUGUGUGUUCUACAUACUUGGCCAAUAAAGAUGAUUCUGAUUCUGAUUCUGAUUCUGAUUCAAUGAGGAGAGUACAGUACUUAGAAGAAGAUCCGAGGGUGGUGAAGAAGAGCUGUGUUUUUCUGAUAAAUUUGAGUGUAAAGAAUUGUUGAAUUUUGAAUUUUAUAUUUUAAAACUACAUAAUCAUGCAACAAACAGAAUCUUACUUAAAAGAGUUCAGACUCUACAGUUGGGAAGUAUUUAGACAGUUUCAUGAUUUUACCUUUAUCCACUCAAACAAUGGAAGUUAAAUAUGAAAACCUGACUUCAUUCUGGCGAAGAAGCCAGGAUUGUCCAGAUAAAAACCUUUCCAAGCCUGAGUACAAUAUCCAAACUCAACACAGGAAGACUGAGGCAGACAUGCUAACCACUGAUCCACUGUGCUGCCAGCAUAUAAGAACACAGCAGUCAUGGCCAUUUUAUGCAGAACAUCAUUUUUGUUCAUUUGUUUGUUUUUAAGAUCAAAACAAAAGUAUGGUUCUAUUUCUGGUCAUUUUAUACAGAACACCAACAUUUUUUUUAAAUUGGAUAUUACAUUGGAAAAUAAUAUUGGAAAAACUGUCAAUAUAAAUGUACAAUUAACACUUGACAGAAAUGUCAGGGAUUAUUCUUCAAGAGACAACAUCACCAUCUGCAGCGAGCAAAUUCUGAAUGUGAUUAUGUCCAUGAGCUGCAGACUUGAAGCAACCAUUGACUUCAAUUUAUAGAUAGUUGCAUGCAGGAAUUUUGAUUUAUGGUCAUAUUUACAAUUCGAACUUUGUUCAAUACUUUUCAGCCCAUUCUGGCCAAAUACAGUAUACUGCAUUUAAGUGUGUUAGCGGCAACUAUUGAAGUGACACAGAAGCUGAAAGGCUAUAAUCUGUAAUUCUACCACCAAUUCUCAACUACUGUAUAUAUCUUGACUUGGACAGAGCUGCACCAAAUAUAAGUGAUGUGUGAAUUGUGAUUAUGUUGUCUGUUUGGCUGAGGUAAGAAAUUGCUUGUGGUAUCCCAAAAGGCCUACAUAUGUAUAGUGUGCCUUCAUCAUCGCAUUUUGUCAAUCUAUGAUGUUUGGAACAGCAGCAGAUCUGAAGCCAAGAUAGUUGCCAAAUUUACAGCUGCUGCACGCGAAGUGCACUUUUCAAGCAUCUGUGUGUGGAUGGUUCUAAAAAGCCAAGGAAUAAUCACAACGCAUCACCGGACCAUUGUGCCACAAAGUACGGAAAAGAGAGUGAAUAAUUCAAAUCUUAUCAUGUAUUCGUAUUCCAUUUAAUUUUUGAAGUGCAGUGUUUAUUGCUGGAGGUUGCGGAUACAUUAGUUCACAAUUAAAGUGAUUAAAAUUAAUGUAGCUAAUUAAAUACAAUCAAAACACAAAAGAUUCUCCAAAACAUGAAGACAUUUUUUAUUACAUUUAAAUAUGAGGUAAUAAUUGCUAAAAGGUUCCUAAAGUUUACACAGGUAAUUUGUAGCACUUACAGUAACAAAACACUGUAAAUAUAUUUGUCUUAAGUAUAUACAGUAUGUAUAUCAUGGUAUUAUUAAUAAUGAGAUUUGCAAAGAAAGGGGUUAAAUUGGUGAUGGUGACAUAAAAAGUGAACAAUUUUCCCUUGGCCCUGUGGUCCAUGUUUAUCGCCAUGAUGACUCUCGGGACGUCAGGACUGCAAGACACAAAAACAAGUAGGGAUAAUGAUCCCAUUGUUUAAAAAAAGCAAACAAAAAACAAAA